CAGCCGCCGCGGGAAUACGAAGGGGGCUAGCGUUGUUCGGAUUUACUGGGCGUAAAGCGCACGUAGGCGGACUUUUAAGUCAGGGGUGAAAUCCCGGGGCUCAACCCCGGAACUGCCUUUGAUACUGGAAGUAUUGAGUAUGGUAGAGGUGAGUGGAAUUCCGAGUGUAGAGGUGAAAUUCGUAGAUAUUCGGAGGAACACCAGUGGCGAAGGCGGCUCACUGGACCAUUACUGACGCUGAGGUGCGAAAGCGUGGGGAGCAAACAGGAUUAGAUACCCCCGUAGUCCCUGUCUCUUAUAA
rnacentral:rRNA from 1 species